CAUACCUAUUCGAAGGGAUAGGGUCGGUUUGGCCGGAUUUCACACAGGUGUUGCAUGGCUGUCGUCAGCUCGUGUCGUGAGAUGUUGGGUUAAGUCCCGCAACGAGCGCAACCCUCAUCCUUAGUUACCAUCAGGUUAUGCUGGGGACUUUAAGGAAACUGCCAGUGAUAAACUGGAGGAAGGUGGGGAUGAUGUCAAGUCAUCAUGGCCCUUAUGGAGUGGGCUACACACGUGCUACAAUGGUGAUUACAAUGGGCUGCAAGGUCGCAAGGCUGAGCUAAUCCUAAAAAAUCAUCUCAGUUCGGAUUGUUCUCUACAACUCGAGAGCAUGAAGUUGGAAUCGCUAGUAAUCGUGGAUCAGCAUGCCACGGUGAAUACGUUCUCGGGUCUUGUACACACUGCCCGUCACGCCAUGGGAAUUGGUUUCACUCGAAGCU
rnacentral:rRNA from 1 species